CCUGAACUGGUUCCCUGAUUGCAUACAUUGGAUAACAGACGUUCUUCGCACUGCAUGUUUUGACUGUUGUAGAAGUUGAACUUUACCAGUUUGAAGGUGUACAACUGUGCAAGUAUUGAACAUCAGCUUGAAAUGCAAUGUGACCUAAAAGACAGUAUAAUAAUGGACAGAUAAAAGUCGUCACCUGACACAACUGAGACAAAUCUACCCAAAUUUGGCCACAAUCAUCAUUAGGGUUAUCUGGUCGUAAGUACCUGUUGGCCACACACAUGAAGAUUCUCAUUGAUCCUGCUCUCAGCUAAAUAUCAGAAAAAUUAAGAACAAAGGAAAAUAUGCUGAAACUGUACAGUCACCGGUCAGGAUUAUUUCAGAAGUGAAAUUAUAAUACAAUUUAUGUAACUGGUUAAUUCCUUUGAUUUGUAAUUUUAAACAACACACAGAGACUUUGCAUUAUUGUUUUACAAGAGAGACACCAAAAGAUGCAGUCAACAUUUAUCAUUUUUAUCAAAAUACGCCCAGGACAAACCAUGGGUACACUUAGCUUGAAAGAUGGUACGUGCUUUCAUACCAAAAUUGCCUGGAAGUAAAAGAAAUAAAGAACCAUUCAUGUCAGCAAUCAGGGAAUAGGAUGAAAGAAUGCAGAAUAAGGCAAUAGUGAAAGGAAGAGAAAGCUAGGCAUCAGUAAAGAAACAGAUCAAUUUAUAUCAAUAUGUAAUAAUUCCAUCUGCAUAUAUUAAACAUUGCACAUGCUAUGAAGAUUUAUUCACAUGUAUACUAUGAUUUGUAGUUAUAUUUUAUUGUAUGUAUUUUUAAUAUUAAAAGUACAUGU